UACGUAGGGUGCAAGCGUUAAUCGGAAUUACUGGGCGUAAAGCGUGCACAGGCGGUUUCGCAAGUCAGAUGUGAAAUCCCCGGGCUCAACCUGGGAACUGCAUUUGAAACUACGAGGCUAGAGUGUGUCAGAGGGGGGUAGAAUUCCACGUGUAGCAGUGAAAUGCGUAGAGAUGUGGAGGAAUACCGAUGGCGAAGGCAGCCCCCUGGGAUAACACUGACGCUCAUGCACGAAAGCGUGGGGAGCAAACAGG
rnacentral:rRNA from 1 species